rnacentral:rRNA from 1 species
AGAGUUUGAUUAUGGCUCAGGACGAACGCUGGCGGCACGCCUAACACAUGCAAGUCGAACGGAGAUGAUUUGAGUUUACUUAGAUCAUCUUAGUGGCGGACGGGUGAGUAACACGUGAGCAACCUGCCUUUGAGAGAGGGAUAGCUUCUGGAAACGGAUGGUAAUACCUCAUAACAUACAGAUACCGCAUGGUGACUGUAUCAAAGAUUUAUCACUCAAAGAUGGGCUCGCGUCUGAUUAGAUAGUUGGUGAGGUAACGGCUCACCAAGUCGACGAUCAGUAGCCGGACUGAGAGGUUGAACGGCCACAUUGGGACUGAGACACGGCCCAG